UACGUAGGUGGCAAGCGUUGUCCGGAAUUAUUGGGCGUAAAGCGCGCGCAGGCGGUCCUUUAAGUCUGAUGUGAAAGCCCGGGGCUCACCCCCGGAAGUGCAUUGGAAACUGGUGGACUCGAGUCCCGGAGAGGAGAGUGGAAUUCCUGGUGUAGCGGUGAAAUGCGCAGAUAUCGGGAAGAACACCCGUGGCGAAGGCGGUUCUCUGGGACGGUACUGACGCUGAGACGCGAAAGCGUGGGGAGCGAACAGG
rnacentral:rRNA from 1 species